UGGUCACAGAGUUAUCAUUUUUAGGGGUGUGGUGGGGUGGGACUGUUGUUGAAGUAAAAGGAGGAGGGUUAGACCUGCCCAACUAGAGGUUUCUUCUAGUUUUUAUAUUUUUAAGACAGUUUAUUAUUAUGUGGCCAAUAAACCAGCAGGUGGCACUACACAACAAUUUUACACAGGCAAAAAUAAGCAGAAUGUGAUCAACACUACUCUGACAAUUUACACAAACAAGAAGUGACCACUUUAAAGACAGAAUGCCAAGAACAAUACAAUAAAUGCUAAAGAGAAAGAGUGACAAGAGUGAGCAACUACAGAUAAUGCAGUCAUGGAACCAGAAAAAGAGAUUCACAGCCUUACAUCAGGGGAAGGAUUUUGGCAGGUGUCUGAAAAUGUGUCUCGAAACAUCUCUGUAGACAAGACUGAGAAAGUUCUUUAAGUAUUAUAGACGUGAUCCUAAGGAAGACAGAAGCAGCCCAAGCCUAACUUAGAAUCAUAAGAAAAUCACAGGUACCGCAUCCACGUUUUGAAAAUCUGUUCCUUACCAAGCACACUGCUAAGCCGCCUAACCACCUUACCACUAUAUGGUAGUUAAAAG
rnacentral:lncRNA from 1 species